AUGCAGUCGACGGUGAAGCAGAGCUUGCUCUGUGGAUCAGUGGCGAACGGGUGAGUAACACGUGAGUAACCUGCCCUUGACUCUGGGAUAAGCGUUGGAAACGACGUCUAAUACCGGAUACGAGCUGAGACCGCAUGGUCAUCAGUUGGAAAGAUUUUUUGGUCAAGGAUGGACUCGCGGCCUAUCAGCUUGUUGGUGAGGUAAUGGCUCACCAAGGCGACGACGGGUAGCCGGCCUGAGAGGGUGACCGGCCACACUGGGACUGAGACACGGCCCAGACUCCUACGGGAGGCAGCAGUGGGGAAUAUUGCACAAUGGGCGCAAGCCUGAUGCAGCAACGCCGCGUGAGGGAUGACGGCCUUCGGGUUGUAAACCUCUUUUAGUAGGGAAGAAGCGAAAGUGACGGUACCUGCAGAAAAAGCACCGGCUAACUACGUGCCAGCAGCCGCGGUAAUACGUAGGGUGCAAGCGUUGUCCGGAAUUAUUGGGCGUAAAGAGCUCGUAGGCGGUUUGUCGCGUCUGCUGUGAAAACUGGAGGCUCAACCUCCAGCCUGCAGUGGGUACGGGCAGACUAGAGUGCGGUAGGGGAGAUUGGAAUUCCUGGUGUAGCGGUGGAAUGCGCAGAUAUCAGGAGGAACACCGAUGGCGAAAGCAGAUCUCUGGGCCGUAACUGACGCUGAGGAGCGAAAGCGUGGGGAGCGAACAGGAUUAGAUACCCUGGUAGUCCACGCCGUAAACGUUGGGAACUAGAUGUGGGGGCCAUUCCACGGUCUCCGUGUCGCAGCUAACGCAUUAAGUUCCCCGCCUGGGGAGUACGGCCGCAAGGCUAAACUCAMAGGARUUGACGGGGGGCCCGCACAGCGGCGGAGCAUGCGGAUUAUUUCKAUGCACGCGARGAACCUUACYAAGGCUUGACWUAUACKAGAACGGGCRGGAAAUGUCRCUCUUUUGKACGMUCSUCAACAAGUGGUGCAUGMUGUCGUCAGCUCGUGUCGUGASAUGUAGGGUAGUUCCCGCACGAGCGCAGCCUCGUCUAUGUUKCUAGCMCSUCAUGGUGGGARCUCUAGMGACUGCCGMGUCACUCGCAGACAGWGGGAUGACGUCAAAYACYAAUCGUAGUCUGGGCUUCCGAGUCCAUGCGUCAAGGCKCAUAGCCUAMGUGAUGUAAUGCA
rnacentral:rRNA from 1 species